rnacentral:lncRNA from 1 species
AACAUAAUUUAUCAUAUUCUUCCCGUGGGGUCAGAUACAGAUGAAGGAGCAGAAGCACAAAACAGUCUUUCAAACCGUUUCUAAGCAGAUUGGAAGAGGUAACAAACCUAGGCUGGUCGUUCCUGACGAAUGACCAGUUGAGGAUUGUGACCGGACCAGUCAACAUUCCCUUCAUGGGACGAGGGGUCAUGCUCUGUGCCAUCUUGGACCAGAAAACAGUCAUGGGGUUCGGCCGGCUGACAUCACCGUAGAUAAUGGGUGGCUUCACACAGCGUGAUCCAUAGGAUUGCACCCAUCCGUUGGCAGUGAACGCAAAACCAGAUAAUUGCUCACCGAAGUACUCAACCAUGUCAUUUCUCUGUAAAUACAUAGGCAUUUACAUAAAUAAGUAAAUAUUUCACCUUCGACAAACAUUAAUAUCAAUAUCCUAAAAGAACUUGUUAUUUUUAGUGAUCCAGACAAAAAAAAAGCUAAUGCAGGUAGUCUACAAUAAACAAAGCAUUACACUGAAAUGCUCACCUCUGGCUCUCCAUGCACAAGCACAUCAAUGUCAAGCUCCUCUUGGAUCUUGACGACCUUGCUGAUUUCUUCCUUGAUGGCACUGAUGUAUUCGUCCUCGGUGAUCCUGCAAUGACACAUUUUCAGUAAGAAAAUGAAUACGAUAAAAAUAUAAUAAUAAUAAUAAUAUAUCCAUAGACACUUACUUCUUUGCCUUGUAUUCACGGCGAACCCUCCUGAGUUCCACAGUCUGAGGGAAUGAACCAAUUGUGGUUGUGGGAAGGACAGGAAGGUUGAGCUUUUUCUGCUGAGCAUCCAAUCUAGCAGAAACAGUGGUAGAACGGCGGUGGUCAG